rnacentral:rRNA from 1 species
GAUAAACGCUGGCGGCGCACAUAAGACAUGCAAGUCGAACGGACUUAACCAUUAGUUUACUAUUGGAGCGGUUAGUGGCGGACUGGUGAGUAACACGUAAGCAACCUGCCUUUCAGUGGGGGACAACAGUUGGAAACGACUGCUAAUACCGCAUAAAACUAUCGGGGGGCAUCCCUUGGUAGUCAAAGAUUUAUUGCUGAAAGAUGGGCUCGCGUCUGAUUAGCUGGAUGGCGGGGUAACGGCCCACCAUGGCGACGAUCAGUAGCCGGACUGAGAGGUUGAACGGCCACAUUGGGACUGAGAUACGGCCCAG